rnacentral:rRNA from 1 species
AAAUUGAAGAGUUUGAUCAUGGCUCAGAUUGAACGCUGGCGGCAGGCCUAACACAUGCAAGUCGAACGGUAACAGAAAGCAGCUUGCUGCUUUGCUGACGAGUGGCGGACGGGUGAGUAAUGUCUGGGAAACUGCCUGAUGGAGGGGGAUAACUACUGGAAACGGUAGCUAAUACCGCAUAACGUCGCAAGACCAAAGAGGGGGACCUUAGGGCCUCUUGCCAUCGGAUGUGCCCAGAUGGGAUUAGCUAGUAGGUGGGGUAAAGGCUCACCUAGGCGACGAUCCCUAGCUGGUCUGAGAGGAUGACCAGCCACACUGGAACUGAGACACGGUCCAGACUCCUACGGGAGGCAGCAGUG